UACGAAGGGGCUAGCGUUGCUCGGAAUCACUGGGCGUAAAGGGUGCGUAGGCGGGUCUUUAAGUCAGGGGUGAAAUCCUGGAACUCAACUCCAGAACUGCCUUUGAUACUGAAGAUCUUGAGUUCGGGAGAGGUGAGUGGAACUGCGAGUGUAGAGGUGAAAUUCGUAGAUAUUCGCAAGAACACCAGUGGCGAAGGCGGCUCACUGGCCCGAUACUGACGCUGAGGCACGAAAGCGUGGGGAGCAAACAGG
rnacentral:rRNA from 1 species